rnacentral:rRNA from 1 species
GCUGCCUAGCUAGCCCAACACAACUAGGUUAAUACCCCAAAACACUACCUAACAAAACCCAUAAAUUGUUUAAUAAAACAUUUUUCCACCCUAGUAUGGGAGACAGAAAAG